AACGAACGCUGGCGGCAUGCCUAACACAUGCAAGUCGAACGAGACCUUCGGGUCUAGUGGCGCACGGGUGCGUAACGCGUGGGAACCUGCCCUUAGGUUCGGAAUAACUCCCCGAAAGGGGUGCUAAUACCGGAUAAUGUCUUCGGACCAAAGAUUUAUCGCCUUUGGAUGGGCCCGCGUUGGAUCAGCUAGUUGGUAGGGUAAAAGCCUACCAAGGCGACGAUCCAUAGCUGGUCUGAGAGGAUGAUCAGCCACACUGGGACUGAGACACGGCCCAGACUCCUACGGGAGGCAGCAGUGGGGAAUAUUGGACAAUGGGCGAAAGCCUGAUCCAGCAAUGCCGCGUGAGUGAUGAAGGCCUUAGGGUUGUAAAGCUCUUUUACCCGGGAUGAUAAUGACAGUACCGGGAGAAUAAGCGCCGGCUAACUCCGUG
rnacentral:rRNA from 1 species